rnacentral:rRNA from 1 species
UUGGAGAGUUUGAUCCUGGCUCAGGAUGAACGCUGGCGGCGUGCCUAAUACAUGCAAGUCGAGCGAACAGACGAGGAGCUUGCUCCUCUGACGUUAGCGGCGGACGGGUGAGUAACACGUGGAUAACCUACCUAUAAGACUGGGAUAACUUCGGGAAACCGGAGCUAAUACCGGAUAACAUGUUGAACCGCAUGGUUCAACAGUGAAAGACGGUCUUGCUGUCACUUAUAGAUGGAUCCGCGCCGCAUUAGCUAGUUGGUAAGGUAACGGCUUACCAAGGCAACGAUGCGUAGCCGACCUGAGAGGGUGAUCGGCCACACUGGAACUGAGACACGGUCCAGACUCCUACGGGAGGCAGCAGUAGGGAAUCUUCCGCAAUGGGCGAAAGCCUGACGGAGCAACGCCGCGUGAGUGAAGAAGGUCUUCGGAUCGUAAAACUCUGUUAUUAGGGAAGAACAAAUGUGUAAGUAACUAUGCACGUCUUGACGGUACCUAAUCAGAAAGCCACGGCUAACUACGAUGCCAGCAGCCGCGGUAAUA